UAAGUUUGGGGUGGAAAUCUUGAAAGAGAAGGCAAGUGCAUAAUAAGAGAUCAUACAAAAAGAAAAAUAGUAUGUAUUUUCUUUAAAAAAAAGAAAAAAAGAAAGAAAAAAAAAGAGAAAAGAAAAACAAAAGAGAAAAAUGCACUUGCCGAGAUUUAAGACUCUAACACAUAUAAAAUGCUCAAAAAAUUUGAGUAGAAAAAGAGUCAAAAGAGUGAAAUUAACCCCCAGAGUAUACGUGAUGCACGAGAAAAAGAGAAAGAAAAAUCACACAACAU
rnacentral:lncRNA from 1 species